rnacentral:siRNA from 1 species
ACGGACCAACUAAGGACGGGAUGC